UAUAAUUUAUCAUUGUACAUUUUUUUAAAAUUUUUCUGUGAUAACAAACAAUAAAAUUUUUAUACCUUCUUAACUUUUUAAACCCAUGUAUAUCUGAUGAGAAGAAAAAAAAAUAAAAAAGUGUGAUUAAAACUGGGCCACAUGAUUUGUGGCACAAAAAACAAUAAAAAUUCAUACCUGCCCACGUGUCAGUCAUUGCCAUAAGGUAGUAUCUCUACCUUUGUUCUUCUUUCUUCAGUUUUCUUUUGAAAUUUUCUUUGUUGUUUUUCUUUGCUUCUCCUGCUUUUGGCAGUUGUUUGCUUUCUUCGUUGUCCUUGUUGCUUCUCCCGCUCUUGCCAAUCCUUUUCUUUUGUUUUUGAAUCGUUGUCAACACCUGAACCAAGUGAUCAAUCUUAUAAACGAAAAAGAGAAUUUGUGAGAAGAGCGCUUUUCAUUCCUGGUGAACAAAGUGAAUCUGAAGAAAUUUCAGAAGUUGAUCCAAGAGAAUGUGAUGAGGUUCCGAUAAAGUUAUUAAAAAAAAAAAUCACCUCCAACUCAAGCAAAGCCACACAGCAGCACUGGAAACAAUGAUUAGGUUGUUUUAUCCAUGACAACAAGGACUAAAGACACCUUUCACUACUCUGAUCAAAAAUGUUUACCGUGUUUUGUUUAUUUAUAUUAAAUCAUGUUUAACAUGUUUAAAAACCUAUACAUAUCUUUUUUGGCCCAAAACUCAACAAUAUUUUUUGCAUCCCCAUACAACAGCAUCUCCUCAUUUUUUGUAUGCAAAAGCUGGAACACACUAUAUUAGAUGGGGUUAUUGGAAGAAAUUCAGUUAUUAUAAUGUUUUUUGUAUCUUUAUACCAGGAAUUUCUAUUUUUUGUAACUGAAUGUAAUCCUCCUGGUUCAGAAAUACAUACAACUGCUACAAUAUAAUGGAUAACUAUAAUUUGUAUCUUUAUAUUAUCUCAAUUUAACCUUUUCCAGUUAA